CCUACGGGAGGCAGCAGUGGGGAAUUUUGGACAAUGGACGCAAGUCUGAUCCAGCCAUGCCGCGUGCGGGAAGAAGGCCUUCGGGUUGUAAACCGCUUUUGUCAGGGAAGAAACGGGUUUCUCUAAUACAGAGACCUAAUGACGGUACCUGAAGAAUAAGCACCGGCUAACUACGUGCCAGCAGCCGCGGUAAUACGUAGGGUGCAAGCGUUAAUCGGAAUUACUGGGCGUAAAGCGUGCGCAGGCGGUUAUGCAAGACAGAGGUGAAAUCCCCGGGCUCAACCUGGGAACUGCCUUUGUGACUGCAUAGCUAGAGUACGGUAGAGGGGGAUGGAAUUCCGCGUGUAGCAGUGAAAUGCGUAGAUAUGCGGAGGAACACCGAUGGCGAAGGCAAUCCCCUGGACCUGUACUGACGCUCAUGCACGAAAGCGUGGGGAGCAAACAGGAUUAGAUACCCUGGUAGUCCACGCCCUAAACGAUGUCAACUGGUUGUUGGGAGGGUUUCUUCUUCAGUAACGAAGCUAACGCGUGAAGUUGACCGCCUGGGGGAGGACGGCCGGCGAAGGUUAGUAAACGUUAAAGUUAAGUAAGUUAGUUACGGUGNGAGNGCGACGACGACGACGACGGAGGAGGAGG
rnacentral:rRNA from 1 species